GCCUACGGGGGGCAGCAGUGGGGAAUAUUGCGCAAUGGGCGAAAGCCUGAUGCAGCGACGCCGCGUGAGGGAUGAAGGUCUUCGGAUCGUAAACCUCUGUCAGCAGGGAAGAACGGUCACUGUGCUAAUCAGCAGUGAAUUGACGGUACCUGCAAAGGAAGCACCGGCUAACUCCGUGCCAGCAGCCGCGGUAAUACGGAGGGUGCGAGCGUUAAUCGGAAUUACUGGUCGUAAAGCGCUCGUAGGCGGUAUGUCAAGUCAAGGGUGAAAUCCCCGCGCUCAACGUGGGAACUGCCUUUGAAACU
rnacentral:rRNA from 1 species